rnacentral:rRNA from 1 species
GAUGAACGCUGGCGGCGUGCCUAAUACAUGCAAGUCGAGCGAACGGACGAGAAGUUUGCUUCUCUGAUGUUAGCGGCGGACGGGUGAGUAAAACGUGGAUAACCUACCUAUAAGACUGGGAUAACUUCGGGAAACCGUAGCUAAUACCGGAUAAUAUUUUAAACCGCAUGGUUCAAAAGUGAAAGACGGUCUUGCUGUCACUUAUAGAUGGAUCCGCGCUGCAUUAGCUAGUUGGUAAGGUAACGGCUUACCAAGGCAACGAUGCAUAGCCGACCUGAGAGGGUGAUCGGCCACACUGGAACUGAGACACGGUCCAGACUCCUACGGGAGGCAGCAGUAGGGAAUCUUCCGCAAUGGGCGAAAGCCUGACGGAGCAACGCCGCGUGAGUGAUGAAGGUCUUCGGAUCGUAAAACUCUGUUAUUAGGGAAGAACAUAUGUGUAAGUAACUGUGCACAUCUUGACGGUACCUAAUCAGAAAGCCACGGCUAACUACGUG